rnacentral:lncRNA from 1 species
UUGCAAUUUGCAGGAAUUUGUCACGCUUUUCAGGUGAUCACACUAGUCGCAUUAUAUAUCUUCCAUUGCUAGGAGAAAAACAAGAAAGAAAAUGGUGGCAGGAGCAAGGAAAAUGUAUCAAGAGAU